GAUGAAGAACGCAGCGAAAUGCGAUAAGUAAUGUGAAUUGCAGAAUUCAGUGAAUCAUCGAAUGUUUGAACGCACAUUGCGCCCAUUAGCAUUCUAGUGGGCAUGCCUGUUCGAGCGUCAUUUCAACCCUUAAGCCCUGUUGCUUAGCGUUGGGAGCCUACAGUACUGUAGCUCCCCAAAGUUAGUGGCGGAGUCGGUUUCACACUCUAGACGUAGUAAUUUUUUCUCGUCUGUAGUUGAGCCGGUCCCCUGCCGUAAAACACCCAAUUUAUCAAGGUUGACCUCGGAUCAGGUAGGAAUACCCGCUGAACUUAAGCAUAUCAAUAAGCGGAGGA
rnacentral:misc_RNA from 1 species